AUUGAACGCUGGCGGCAGGCCUAACACAUGCAAGUCGAGCGGAUGAAGGGAGCUUGCUCCUGGAUUCAGCGGCGGACGGGUGAGUAAUGCCUAGGAAUCUGCCUGGUAGUGGGGGAUAACGUCCGGAAACGGGCGCUAAUACCGCAUACGUCCUGAGGGAGAAAGUGGGGGAUCUUCAGACCUCACGCUAUCAGAUGAGCCUAGGUCGGAUUAGCUAGUUGGUGGGGUAAAGGCCUACCAAGGCGACGAUCCGUAACUGGUCUGAGAGGAUGACCAGUCACACUGGAACUGAGACACGGUCCAGACUCCUACGGGAGGCAGCAGUGGGGAAUAUUGGACAAUGGGCGAAAGCCUGAUCCAGCCAUGCCGCGUGUGUGAAGAAGGUCUUCGGAUUGUAAAGCACUUUAAGUUGGGAGGAAGGGCAGUAAGUUAAUACCUUGCUGUUUUGACGUUACCAACAGAAUAAGCACCGGCUAACUUCGUG
rnacentral:rRNA from 1 species